rnacentral:rRNA from 1 species
UUGGAGGGCAAGUCUGGUGCCAGCAGCCGCGGUAAUUCCAGCUCCAAUAGCGUAUACUAAAGUUGUUGCAGUUAAAAAGCUCGUAGUUGAAUUUCGGGAUCAACUUACUGGUCGUGCCUAUGGUACGCACUGGUUUUGUUGGUUUCUCCCUUCUGACGAAUCACGAUGUCAUUAAUUUGAUGUCCUGGGGAAUCAGGACUGUUACUUUGAAAAAUUAGAGUGUUUAAAGCAGGCUAACGCUUGAACACAUUAGCACGGAAUAAUGAAAUAGGACGUUUGAUCCUAUUUUAGUUGGUUUUUAGGAUUGCCGUAAUGAUUAAUAGGGAUAGUUGGGGGCAUUAGUAUUCAAUUGUCAGAGGUGAAAUUCUUGGAUUUAUUGAAGACUAACUACUGCGAAAGCAUUUGCCAAGGAUGUUUUCAUUAAUCAAGAACGAAAGUUAGGGGAUCGAAGACGAUCAGAUACCGUCGUAGUCUUAACCAUAAACUAUGCCGACUAGGGAUCGGAUGAUAUUAAUUUUUUAAUGUACUCAUUCGGCGCCUUACGGGAAAC